GUGGCCUUCCGACGCGCUGGAGCUUGAGAAGUCCUUCAGGACUGAUUUUGGUGGAAGAAGACAGCAGGCGGUGGGCAUUCACUGUGCUGGUGGGAAGUCUGGUUACACUAAGAAAGGGAUUCUAGCAAAGUUAUUCUGUAAAUACAACAGAAUCAGUUGCUUUUGUUAAAUAUAUUGGUAAGCUUCCUGAUUUUUUCCCCCUGAAUUCUCAAUUUGUUAUUGAAUAGUUCAGUUUUAUUUAGGGUUUCAAUUUUAUUUAGGAAACAAUACCUCUACCUUACAAAGAAUUUGCAAGUAGCACUGAUUAUAAUACCUUUAUACCCAAAGGAAGAGCUGGGAUAGAGCUCCCUAAGACUUUUCUGCCUGCAAAAGAUAUGGGUAGGGUUGCCAUUUGAAUACAGUUACCAAUGAAAAACUAUCAGCUUAUCUAGGCUUUAACAAUAAAGUUCAUGGGGGUAA
rnacentral:sRNA from 1 species